UACGGGGGGGGCAAGCGUUGUUCGGAAUUACUGGGCGUAAAGGGCUCGUAGGCGGCCAACUAAGUCGGAUGUGAAAUCCCCAGGCUUAACCUGGGAACUGCAUCCGAUACUGGAUGGCUUGAAUCCGGGAGAGGGAUGCAGAAUUCCAGGUGUAGCGGUGAAAUGCGUAGAUAUCUGGAGGAACACCAAUGGCGAAGGCAGCUCGCUGGGACGGUACUGACGCUGAGACGCGAAAGCGUGGGGAGCAAACAGG
rnacentral:rRNA from 1 species